GCUUACGGACAUAUCACACUGUCUGCACCCGAUCUCAUCUGAUCUCGGAAGCUAAGCAGGGUCGGGCUGGUUAAUUACUUGGAUGGGAGCCGCGUGGGAAUACCAGGUGCUGUAAGCU
rnacentral:rRNA from 1 species